UACUCUUGACAUCCAGAGAACUUAGCAGAGAUGCUUUGGUGCCUUCGGGAACUCUGAGACAGGUGCUGCAUGGCUGUCGUCAGCUCGUGUUGUGAAAUGUUGGGUUAAGUCCCGCAACGAGCGCAACCCUUAUCCUUUGUUGCCAGCGGUUCGGCCGGGAACUCAAAGGAGACUGCCAGUGAUAAACUGGAGGAAGGUGGGGAUGACGUCAAGUCAUCAUGGCCCUUACGAGUAGGGCUACACACGUGCUACAAUGGCGCAUACAAAGAGAAGCGACCUCGCGAGAGCAAGCGGACCUCAUAAAGUGCGUCGUAGUCCGGAUCGGAGUCUGCAACUCGACUCCGUGAAGUCGGAAUCGCUAGUAAUCGUAGAUCAGAAUGCUACGGUGAAUACGUUCCCGGGCCUU
rnacentral:rRNA from 1 species